rnacentral:rRNA from 1 species
GACGAACGCUGGCGGCGUGCUUAACACAUGCAAGUCGAACGAAGAGCGACGGAAGCUUGCUUCUAUCAAUCUUAGCGGCGAACGGGUGAGUAACGCGUAAUCAACCUGCCCUUCAGAGGGGGACAACAGUUGGAAACGACUGCUAAUACCGCAUACGAUCUAACCACGGCAUCGAGGAUAGAUGAAAGGUGGCCUCUACAUGUAAGCUAUCACUGAAGGAGGGGAUUGCGUCUGAUUAGCUAGUUGGAGGGGUAACGGCCCACCAAGGCGAUGAUCAGUAGCCGGUCUGAGAGGAUGAACGGCCACAUUGGGACUGAGACACGGCCCAGACUCCUACGGGAGGCAGCAGUGGGGAAUCUUCCGCAAUGGACGAAAGUCUGACGGAGCAACGCCGCGUGAGUGAUGACGGCCUUCGGGUUGUAAAGCUCUGUUAAUCGGGACGAAAGGCCUUCUUGCGAAUAGUGAGAAGGAUUGACGGUACCGGAAUAGAAAGCCACGGCUAACUACGUG